GAUCUUUUAAUAAGGCUGAUGGAGUAUC
rnacentral:sRNA from 1 species